rnacentral:rRNA from 2 species
AGGGAUGGAGGCCUUCGGGUUGUGAACCUCUUUCGCCAGUGAAGCAGGCCUGCUCCUGUGUGGGUGGGUUGACGGUAGCUGGAUAAGAAGCGCCGGCUAACUACGUGCCAGCAGCCGCGGUAAUACGUAGGGCGCGAGCGUUGUCCGGAAUUAUUGGGCGUAAAGAGCUCGUAGGCGGCUGGUCGCGUCUGUCGUGAAAUCCUCUGGCUUAACUGGGGGCUUGCGGUGGGUACGGGCCGGCUUGAGUGCGGUAGGGGAGGCUGGAACUCCUGGUGUAGCGGUGGAAUGCGCAGAUAUCAGGAAGAACACCGGUGGCGAAGGCGGGUCUCUGGGCCGUUACUGACGCUGAGGAGCGAAAGCGUGGGGAGCGAACAGGAUUAGAUACCCUGGUAGUCCACGCCGUAAACGUUGGGCACUAGGUGUGGGGGGCCUUUUCGGGUUCUUCCGCGCCGUAGCUAACGCAUUAAGUGCCCCGCCUGG